UUUUUGAUCCUUCGAUGUCGGCUCCUCCUAUCUUUAUAAAACAGCAUUCAUUGAACGUUAUACUAUUCACUUAGAAAAAGAGGAAAGUGCGCUAGAUUUAGAACUGCCGUUCGAAAGUUUAAUCUUUCUUUUAA
rnacentral:rRNA from 12 species